rnacentral:lncRNA from 1 species
AUGGUUUUGAGCAUGAGCACCGUUUCUAGUGGUGGAAAAUGUGGGGAAAUUUUGGACUUUUGGAUGUUGGAGUUUUUGAGGUAGUUAAUGGUGGUUUGUAGAUGGUCGUGGUGUUUGUAGUUGGUGGUGGUGCUAGUGAGAUGGUGGUGGCGAUGUUGGUGAUAGUUGUGGUGGUGAUCGAUCAUUUUGGAUUUGAUUCUUUAGUGGUGUUGACUGUGAUACUGACUGCGG